rnacentral:rRNA from 1 species
CUCAGGACGAACGCUGGUCGGCGUGCCUAAUACAUGCAAGUCAAACGCUUCUAUUCCUAAACCUUCCGGUCUGUUAAAAGAGGAGUGGCGGACGGGUGAUUAACACGUGGGUAACCUGCCUAUCACCGGGGGAUAACACUCGGAGACACGUGCUAAUACCGCAUAGAUCUUCCCACUGCAUGGAGGAAAUAAGAAAUACACUUCUGCGUCACUGAUAUAUGGACCCGCGGCGCAUUACCCAUUUGGUGGGGUAACGGCCUACCAUAGCAACUAUGCAUAACCGACCUGAUAGGGUGAUCAGUCACACUGGGACUGAGACACGGCCCAUACUCCUACGGGAGGCAGCACUAUGGAAUCUUCCGCAAUGGACCAAAGUCUGACCGAGCAACGCCGCGUGAUUUAAGAACGUGUUCGGGUCCUACAACUCUGUUGUCAUAGAACAACAUGCGUGACAAGAAGAUGCUCAUCUCUUGACGGUAUCUGACCUGAAAGCCACGGCUACCUACUUGCCAGCAGGCGCAGUAAUACCUAUGUGGCAACCGUUGUCCGCAUAUAUAGGGCGUAAAGCGAUCGCAAGCGGUUACUUAAUUCUGAUGUGAAGUCCCCCGGCUCAUCCGCGGACGGUCAUUGCAAACUGCGAUACUUGAAUGCACACGAGGAGACUGCAAUUCCAUGUGUAGCGCUGAAAUGCGUAGAUAUAUGGAGGACAUCCAGUGGCGAAGGCGGCUCUCUGGUCUGUAAAUGACGCUGAGGCUCGAAAGCGUGGGUAGCAAACAGGAUUAGAUACCAUGGUAGUCCACGCCGUAUACGAUGAGUGCUAAGUGUUGGAGGAUUUCCGCCCUACAGUGAUGCAGUUAACGCAUUAAGCACUCCGCUUGGGGAGUACGACCGCAAGAUUGAAACUCAAAGGAAUUGACGGGGACCCGCACAAUCGGUGGAGCAUGUGGUUUAAUUAGAAGCAACGCGAAGAACCUUAACAGGUCUAGACAUCCUAUGACCACUUUAGAGAUAGAGUUUCCCCUUAGGGGGCAAAGAGACAGGUGGCGCAUGGUUGUAGUCAGCUCGUGUCGAGAGAUGUUGGGUUAAGUCCAGCAACGAGCGCAACCAUUAUUGUUAGAGACCAUCAUUAAGUUGGGCACUCGAAGGAGAAUGCCGGUGACAAACCGGAGGAAGGUGGGGAGGACGUCAAAUAGUCAUGCCCCUUAUGAUCUGGGGUACACACGUGUAACAAUGGGAAGUACAACGAGCAGCUAAGCCGAGAGGCCAAGCAAAUAUCAGACAAAUUCUUUCAGUUCGGAUAGCAGGCUGCAACUGGCUUGCAGGAAGCCGGACUCGCUAGUAAUCGAGGAUCAGCACGCAGGCGGUGAAUACGUUCCCGGAUCUGGUACACACCGCC